rnacentral:rRNA from 1 species
GACAGAGGGUGCAAACGUUGUUCGGAAUUACUGGGCGUAAAGCGCGUGUAGGCGGCUUGGCAAGUCGGGUGUGAAAGCCCUGGGCUCAACCUAGGAAGUGCACUCGAAACUGCUUCGCUUGAGUGUCGGAGAGGAAAGCGGAAUUCUCGGUGUAGAGGUGAAAUUCGUAGAUAUCGAGAGGAACACCGGUGGCGAAGGCGGCUUUCUGGACGAUAACUGACGCUGAGACGCGAAAGCCAGGGGAGCAAACGGG